ACCUGGCUGGCUCAGCUGGUAGAGCAUGCGACUGUUGAUCUCAGGGUCUUGAGUUCAGGCCUCAUGUUGGGCA
rnacentral:tRNA from 1 species